rnacentral:snRNA from 11 species
AUAUUUACCUGGUAGGGGAGAGACCAUGAUCAGGCAGGUGGUUUUCCCAGGGCAAGGCUCAUCCCCUGCACCAUUUUUUUUUUUAAGAUCAUGGAGCAGAUCUUU